rnacentral:rRNA from 1 species
AGUAAUGCUUGGGAACUUGCCUUUGCGAGGGGGAUAACAGUUGGAAACGACUGCUAAUACCGCAUAAUGUCUUCGGACCAAACGGGGCUUCGGCUCCGGCGCAAAGAGAGGCCCAAGUGAGAUUAGCUAGUUGGUGAGGUAAAGGCUCACCAAGGCAACGAUCUCUAGCUGUUCUGAGAGGAAGAUCAGCCACACUGGGACUGAGACACGGCCCAGACUCCUACGGGAGGCAGCAGUGGGGAAUAUUGCACAAUGGGGGAAACCCUGAUGCAGCCAUGCCGCGUGUGUGAAGAAGGCCUUCGGGUUGUAAAGCACUUUCAGUUGUGAGGAAAAGUUAGUAGUUAAUACCUGCUAGCCGUGACGUUAACAACAGAAGAAGCACCGGCUAACUCCGUGCCAGCAGCCGCGGUAAUACGGAGGGUGCGAGCGUUAAUCGGAAUUACUGGGCGUAAAGCGCACGCAGGCGGUUUGUUAAGCUAGAUGUGAAAGCCCCGGGCUCAACCUGGGACGGUCAUUUAGAACUGGCAGACUAGAGUCUUGGAGAGGGGAGUGGAAUUCCAGGUGUAGCGGUGAAAUGCGUAGAUAUCUGGAGGAACAUCAGUGGCGAAGGCGACUCCCUGGCCAAAGACUGACGCUCAUGUGCGAAAGUGUGGGUAGCGAACAGGAUUAGAUACCCUGGUAGUCCACACCGUAAACGCUGUCUACUAGCUGUUUGUGACUUUAAGUCGUGAGUAGCGAAGCUAACGCGAUAAGUAGACCGCCUGGGGAGUACGGCCGCAAGGUUAAAACUCAAAUGAAUUGACGGGGGCCCGCACAAGCGGUGGAGCAUGUGGUUUAAUUCGAUGC